rnacentral:tRNA from 1 species
GGGGAUGUAGCUUAGUGACAGAGUGCUUGCCUAGCAAGCCCUGUGUGAGGCCCAGGGUUUGAUCCCCAGCACCCCCC